UCCCGUAUAAAGAUACGGGCAGUCCGGUAAGAGUGAUACAACUUACCGUAAGGGUUGCGCUCGUUAUGGCACUUAAGCCAACAUCUCACGACACGAGCUGACGACAGCCGUGCAACACCUGUGCUACACCCUCGAAGGUCACACGUUUCCGUGCGCUUGCAGUAGCAUGUCAAACCUCGGUGAGGUUCUUCGCUUAGCAUCGAAUUAAACCACGCGCUCCACCGCUUGUGCGGUCCCCCGUCAAUUCCUUUGAGUUUUAGCCUUGCGGCCGUACUCCCCAGGCGGGAUACUUAACGCGUUAGCUUGCGACGCCCAGGGGGUCAAUACCCCAAGCAUCUAGUAUCCAUCGUUUACGGCGUGGACUA
rnacentral:misc_RNA from 1 species